AUCUGGCUUUUUACGGCACCGAUUUCAAAGUUAAAAACUGUAACCUUUUUUUUCACAGCGUGCUCGAAGUCGGUAUGGUAAGGAUGUAUUUAUUUGUCUUUUUUAAAAAAAUUUAUAUCAACUCAGACUUUAUUAAAAAAGUCGAAUUUUUAAUGUUGAAUAAAUUAUGUGUUUUUUUUAUGGUUAAUAAAUUUUUCACUUAUUUUAUUGCUAUUUAAAAUUUCGUUCCUUUUCUGGAAGUGCAUUCAUAUGGAAGGCAUGUUGGUACAUUUUUGAAAUUUUCUAGUCAACUGUAUAAAUCAAUUUUCUAUGUGCCUGCAAAAUACAAUUUAAAAAUAUUCAUGACCACAUAACGUAGUUUUUGAUCCAGUGGAAGUUCAAUUUCUACCCUUUUUACUGUUACUGUUACUGUUACACUUUAUUAAACUGUUUCUGCUACUGUUACUGUUACUUCUUGUUAUAAAUUCUGUUGUUUUUUUUACAAUUACCAGUGAUUUUUAUUCAGUUUUAAAAUUUUAUUUCUGUUCCGGAGGUGCAUAAAUAUUGAAGGUAUGUUGGUACACUUUUUAAAUUUUCCAGGCAACUGUAUAAAUCUAUUUUCUAUGUGCCUGCCAAAUUUCAUUAAAAAAUAUUUAUGACCAGACAUCCUAUUUUAUCGUGGAGUGGAGGUAUGUAUUUCCACUUCCGUUACAUAGUUUAAGGCGGGGGGGAGGGCAUUUCGUUGGUGUUAGCCAGUGAGCAUUCAGUAUACUUGUUUUUCUAUUCAUAAUAAUGAAAUAUUUUAUAAGAACUUUCAUUAAAAAGUUUUACUUUUUUUAAAUAGUCAUUUAUUACUAAGAAUACUGUUGAUUUUUUUAAAUAAUUGUAUAAUCAUUUAUUGUGUUAUUUAUUGUAUAUAUUUUUUAUUGCUUACUCUUUUCACACAUCAAAAUCAGCUUCAAGGCUGCUUUGAAACUAAUUUCGGCGUGUGAAAAGAGUAAGUAAUUCAAAUUAUCUUUGGCAGAACUUUGCCUUGAAGGCAAAGUUCUCCUAAAAAAAAAUUAAUAUGGUGAAAUAAAAAUCAAAUGACACUUUUAUAUGGGGAUUCAGCAUAAAAUGCGAAAAAAAAUAUUAAAAACAAAAACAGCAUUUUCUCAGCUUUUUUCCAUACCCAGAAUUUACUAUAUAACCACCUUAAGCUCUAUGAUACAUAAAAAUUAUAUACAUGUUUUAUCUAUGCGAAUAAUAAUAAAUGUAUCUACACAUUUUUUUAUAGGUUAAUAGUAAUUUUUUAAAUUAGUUAGUUGUGUUUAAAAGCCAACCCAAUUAAAUAGUUGUAUUAUGAUUGUUUGAUUUAGUGCAUCGUGGGACCUAAAAAGGAAACAUUUCUACUUGAUGGUAAAGCUAAAAGUUAGUUAACUUGUAGUUUUACACUACCAGCUCAUUUAAAUAUUGGUUGUAGCAAUGGACGCCUACUGCAUAUAUUGGCAACUAACAAGGAUUCAUAUAAAGUAACUGUAGAAGAAAUCAAUAAGUAUUUUAACAUCAAAGUUUGUACUAAUUAGAUUCUGCAACUAGUUAAAACAUCAAAAAACUUUGUAAACCAUUUUUCACGAGAUUCAAAACAAUUUAUUGACAUCUGCAACAUGCUCUGUGCAUACAAAUAAUAACAUCUGCUAUGGCGCAAACAUCGCAAUCAAUUGCAACCUCAAUUCACAUUGCUAUAUGUUCUUCAUUUCCUUUUCAACAAAUCAGUGUUUUAUCUGUAUCAAACAGUGGUCACUUAUCUCUUUUAUCUGGUCCUGCUAUAGAAACCUCUUCUCAUGAACCACUAUCCAGUUAGAGAGCUGACUAGUUAAGUCCCAGAAAAAGGUUAUGAGAAAGAGAUUUAAUUUUUUUGUUUGAAACAGCAGUUAACAUUAAUCGAAACCAAGUUUUCUUAUCCAAAGGCAAUUUUAUACCAACAACUUGCUGACAAAAAUUAUGCAAUUCUUGUACUGCAAAAUGACAUUGAUACUGAUUUUACAGGAAGAGUUGGAGAAAAUUCAGCAAGUAACACAAAACACUAAAACUCAAAAACACUACUCAGCAGAUAUUAGAACACUUAUAUACGACAUGCUUGUGUGUUAGUUCCUGGUUUCAUUCACUACACAAUUCAUUUUCUACACAAUUCUGCAAUACAAACUUCGCUACAAGGAUUCAAAAGUGAUCCAAAGGGUUUUGGGUUCUUUUUGGACCAACACGAGUUGCCCAGAAGAUUGCUACCACGCUAUAGAGGGAACAGAAUACAUAUGCUUUUUUACACAUGUGGUACUUUGAUCUAUAAUUAUUCCAUAUUGAAGAUAUUUUUGUGUUCUGGCUUGACAUUAUGUGAAUGUCUGCAAAAUGGUUUGUUUCAAGACUUUACAUCUGAAACAGGUUUUAACUAAUAGCAUGCUAAAAGAUUGCAAUUUGCUACUGUCUUAAAGUCCUCAAGAUUAUAUUUUAUAAUUCAGUUACACAACGUGAUGAGUACUGCACGCUUGCUUUGAUGUUUGUUGAUCUUCUUCAUUUCAAUAUUAAAUCGAUAUCAUUAUAUAUGGUUUCCAUCGCGUACUAAAGAUUCGACUCCUUCUAUGGAUGUCACAGUUUUAUUUACUUCAAAAACUAGGCUUUUUUCAAGCCACAAUUCUGUUAAAAACAUUACUAAGCAAAUAAAAUAACUAUAGUGUAAAUU